rnacentral:rRNA from 1 species
UCCGUAGGUGAACCUGCGGAAGGAUCAUUACCUGGCCUUGGGCCACUCCUGCAUGGCGGUCACGCCUUCGGGGGUGCUUAGCCCUUGACUAUCACCUUGACUAUGCGUACCUUUGUUGUUUCCUCGGCAGGCUUCCUGCCGAUGGAACCCUUUACAACCCUUUUGCAGUAGCAUCAAACUGAAACAAACCACAAUUAUUUACAACUUUCAACAAUGGAUCUCUUGGUUCUGGCAUCGAUGAAGAACGCAGCGAAAUGCGAUAAGUAGUGUGAAUUGCAGAAUUCAGUGAAUCAUCGAAUCUUUGAACGCACAUUGCGCCCCUCGGUAUUCCGUGGGGCAUGCCUGUUCGAGCGUCAUUUACCCCCUCAAGCUCUGCUUGGUGUUGGGCGCCUGUCCCGCCUCGUGCGCGGACUCGCCUAGAAGACAUUGGCAGCGGUCGUGCCAGCUUCUCGCGCAGCACAUUGCGCUUCUCGAGGCUUUGGCGGAUCAGCGUCCAGCAAGUCCAUCUCCAGUUUGACCUCGGAUCAGGUAGGGAUACCCGCUGAACUUAAGCAUAUCAAUAAGCGGAGGA